UAGGGGACCAAAUGGGAGACUGUGACAGGGGACAGACAAUUAGACAAAUAGGACACACAGUCACAGUAUUUCCCACAAUGCAUCCUGGCUUCCUCCCCUCUGCCCUGGGAGAUAAUUGGAAAGUAACUCAAUUAUCUCCCAAGACAAAGGCAAAACUCCAUUACACACGUGGGGACACAAAACCAGCAUUAUACUUUAAAAUACACAAAGUAACAUUUAUUCCACAAAACACAGACAUGUAACAUAUCCCCAGAUAGCUCAGGUCUGAGUGCACAUUAUUAGGUGAAUGGCACUCAGACCACACGAAUACAG
rnacentral:lncRNA from 1 species